rnacentral:sRNA from 1 species
UGCGAUGCAGUCCGCAACAAAUGCCAACUUUUAGCGCACGGCUCUCUCCCAAGAGCCAUUUCCCUAGACCGGGCACAGGAAUCGUGUUCGGUCUUUUUUU